AAAUUAUCGUUUUGAAGUCCUACAUGAGUAAUCACUUGGGGAGCUCAAUUAACACCCAGCAACAGACUAAUUAUUAAUAAACCAGAAUCUUCAGUAUUAGGCUUCAAUCAUUGGCAAUUUUUUUUUUUUGACACACAGUCUCCCACUGUCGCCCAGGCUGAAGUCCUGAGGCCAGAAUGAGACUAGGACAUGGUUCCUUUGCCUAAGUAAACUGAGGCAGAAAAUGGAAUACUUCAGACUUCAAAUUAGUAUGAUUUUCAAAAUGUCAUACCUUGAACCACCGCCAGAUGGCUAUGAGAAUGUUACAAAUACUG
rnacentral:lncRNA from 1 species